UUCACCUUCUUCAACAUUGAUUCGCCUCUCGUGGACCUUAUUCCAAACUGGAAGAAUCUUUCAAACUUCACAACAAUCCACAGCAGUAAUGAAUGUUCAUGUCUGAGUUUUGGCACGUACAAGUUCGGCUGGCUAGUGCUGAUCCAUGUUUUGUCGACGACCUGGGGGAAUCUCCACAUGUCCUCCUGCAAAACUGUAACAAACACAGUUGCAGCCUUGUGAUAAUCAUAAGCCGAAAUCAAAACACAGAAUUAAAAUCAAGAAGUUUAGGAUGCAGAAAAUACUUGGAUGGAGAUUGUAACAAGCUGAUUUUGGCUAUGGCUGGCGGUUCAAGUCUCCUCUCGUCAAGUAAUUGUUUGACCUU
rnacentral:lncRNA from 1 species